UGCAGCCAACUAUACCAAACCACCAACGGUGUUAGUUUCUCCGAAGCACAGUACAUCAGGAAAUAAUGUUGAUCCAAAAAACAAUGGAAUCUCCACAUGGAUUGAGACUAUUACAGAUGCGUCUUUUAGAAUAUGUUUUAAAGAGUUACACAGCACCAAUGGUUAUGAUCCUGUUACAAUAUCCCAUGUUGUCUUAGGAGAAAUCUGUGAUUCGGGGUGGAUAUACUUCGGAGGAUAUUGUCAUAAAAUA